rnacentral:tRNA from 1 species
GCGGGAAUAGCUCAGUGGUAGAGUGCAACCUUGCCAAGGUUGAAGUCGCGGGUUCGAGCCCCGUUUCCCGCUCCA